GAUGAAGAACGUAGCGAAAUGCGAAAAGUAGUGUGAAUUGCAGAAUUCAGUGAAUCAUCGAAUCUUUGAACGCACAUUGCGCCCCUUGGUAUUCCGAGGGGCAUGCCUGUUCGAGCGUCAUUUGACCAAUCAAGCCUGGCUUGGUAUUGGGGCUCGCUCUCCAGCGUCCUCUAAACACAGUGGCGGUGCCGUUAGGCUCUAAGCGUAGUAAUUCUUCUCGCUAUAGGGUCUUGCGGUUGCUUGCCAUAACCCAAAUUUUUAAGGUUGACCUCGGAUCAGGUAGGGAUACCCGCUGAACUUAAGCAUAUCAAUAAGCGGAGGA
rnacentral:misc_RNA from 1 species